rnacentral:rRNA from 1 species
UACGUAGGGGGCAAGCGUUGUCCGGAAUCAUUGGGCGUAAAGAGCGUGUAGGCGGCCCGGUAAGUCCGCUGUGAAAGUCCAGGGCUCAACCCUGGGAUGCCGGUGGAUACUGUCGGGCUCGAGUCCGGAAGAGGAGUGUGGAAUUCCGUGGUGUAGCGGUGAAAUGGCGCAGAGUAUCAGGAGGAACACCCGGUGGCGAAGG